ACUUGGUGGCCAAGGUUUGCUUGUGUCAUGGAUGACUUCAUCUUUUGCUUAUGUCAUGCAUGACAUCAUCCUCCACCAUUUGCCUAUAAAUACAAAGCCUCCCCCCACCCAUUUUCUUCAAGCUAAGAGCCAAAUAUAUGCUGAGAUUUUGAAGUGAAAAUACUCUCCCAAAGUUUAUUAAAGCACCCACCAUAUUUACUUCAUCUUUAAAACCUUCGAUUCUUCAUAUACUUCGUUAUAUACACAAGGUUUUAAACCCCGAGGCUUCGUACCACCCAACCUAGCCAAAUCUCGCUUAGCUCAUUUUCAUACCACUCUUUUUGUCCUCCCGAAGGGCUCUCAAAAGUUCGUGUGCAAAGCCAAAAUCCGGUCGAACCUCCGACGAAUUUUUCCGGCGAACUUUUUUGAGGUGAAGUGAAGUGAGGUGAUCUUCGUUCUAAGACCCAAGUCCUUGACGUAUUGACGGGGAGUUAAUAGUCAUUGCACCGUGAGGAAGAGGAAAGACCCAAGAUCUAAUACCUAAGACCCGAGACCGGCAAAAGGUGUAGAAGUACAAAGACUACACAAGGUUCUACAUCGACUUUGAGGAAGUAACGGGGAGUUACGUUCCAAGACAAGCUUUGUAGGUGUUUUUACAUUUAUAGUGAGGAGGUAACGGGAAGUUACGCUCCAAGAUAUAUAUUUGUAAUGGCUUCUCCGCCUACUUUAAAGGAGUAUCUUUUUAGUAGAGAAAAUCUCGAGUCCGGGGAGGAGCUCGGGGACUGGACUAGGGGUGAGUGGACUCCAUCGGUUGAGUUAGCCACCGCGAACCAGGAUAAAAUCCCUCGUGUGGUAUUUUUCUUUCUUU